ACAUUGGGACUGAGAUACGGCCCAGACUCCUACGGGAGGCAGCAGUAGGGAAUUUUGCGCAAUGGACGAAAGUCUGACGCAGCAACGCCGCGUGAGGGAUGACGGCCUUCGGGUUGUAAACCUCUGUUGAGUGGGAAGAAAAGCUUUGUGGUUAAUAUCCACAGAGUCUGACGGUACCACUCGAGGAAGCUCCGGCUAACUACGUGCCAGCAGCCGCGGUAAUACGUAGGGGGCUAGCGUUGUUCGGAAUCACUGGGCGUAAAGGGAGUGUAGGCGGACCGGUAAGUUAGGAGUUAAAUGUACGGGCUCAACCCGUGAUCUGCUUUUAAUACUGUCGGUCUUGAGUAUGGGAGAGGGAGAUGGAAUUCCAGGUGUAGCGGUGGAAUGCGUAGAUAUCUGGAAGAACACCAGUUGCGAAGGCGGUCUCCUGGACCAAUACUGACGCUGAUGCUCGAAAGCUGGGGGAGCGAACAGGAUUAGAUACCCUGGUAGUCCCAGCCGUAAACGAUGGACACUAGUUGCCGGAGGAGUCAAUCCCUUCGGUGACGAAGCUAACGCAUUAAGUGUCCCGCCUGGGGAGUACGCUCGCAAGGGUGAAACUCAAAGGAAUUGACGGGGGCCCGCACAAGCGGUGGAGCAUGUGCUUUAAUUCGAUGCAACGCGAAGAACCUUACCUGGGUUUGACAUGGGGGUGAAAGUUUCCAGAGAUGGAAGCCUUUCCUUCGGGAACACCCCACACAGGUGCUGCAUGGUUGUCGUCAGCUCGUGUCGUGAGAUGUUGGGUUAAGUCCCGCAACGAGCGCAACCCCUGCCCUUGGUUGCCAUCAGGUAAAGCUGGGAACUCUAAGGGGACAGCUUGGUAUAACCAGGAGGAAGGUGGGGAUGACGUCAAAUCAUCAUGGCUCUUACGCCCAGGGCUAGACACGUGCUACAAUGGCAGGUACAGUGGGAUGCCAGCCUGCGAAGGUGAGCUAAUCCCUUAAAACCUGUCUCAGUCCGGAUUGGAGUCUGCAACUCGACUCCAUGAAGUUGGAAUCGCUAGUAAUCGCGGAUCAGCAUGCCGCGGUGAUACGUUCCCGGGCCUUGUACACACCGCCCGUCAAGCCAUGAAAGGCGGUAGUACCCGAAGUCGCGUACCCAACCGUAAGGAGGAAGCGCCGAAGGUAAGACUG
rnacentral:rRNA from 1 species